rnacentral:rRNA from 1 species
AGAGUUUGAUCAUGGCUCAGAUUGAACGCUGGCGGCAGGCCUAACACAUGCAAGUCGAGCGGUAGCACAGAGAGCUUGCUCUCGGGUGACGAGCGGCGGACGGGUGAGUAAUGUCUGGGAAACUGCCUGAUGGAGGGGGAUAACUACUGGAAACGGUAGCUAAUACCGCAUAACGUCGCAAGACCAAAGUGGGGGACCUUCGGGCCUCAUGCCAUCAGAUGUGCCCAGAUGGGAUUAGCUAGUAGGUGGGGUAACGGCUCACCUAGGCGACGAUCCCUAGCUGGUCUGAGAGGAUGACCAGCCACACUGGAACUGAGACACGGUCCAGACUCCUACGGGAGGCAGCAGUGGGGAAUAUUGCACAAUGGGCGCAAGCCUGAUGCAGCCAUGCCGCGUGUGUGAAGAAGGCCUUCGGGUUGUAAAGCACUUUCAGCGGGGAGGAAGGCGNNNCGAUUGACGUUACCCGCAGAAGAAGCACCGGCUAACUCCGUGCCAGCAGCCGCGGUAAUACGGAGGGUGCAAGCGUUAAUCGGAAUUACUGGGCGUAAAGCGCACGCAGGCGGUCUGUCAAGUCGGAUGUGAAAUCCCCGGGCUCAACCUGGGAACUGCAUUCGAAACUGGCAGGCUAGAGUCUUGUAGAGGGGGGUAGAAUUCCAGGUGUAGCGGUGAAAUGCGUAGAGAUCUGGAGGAAUACCGGUGGCGAAGGCGGCCCCCUGGACAAAGACUGACGCUCAGGUGCGAAAGCGUGGGGAGCAAACAGGAUUAGAUACCCUGGUAGUCCACGCCGUAAACGAUGUCGAUUUGGAGGUUGUGCCCUUGAGGCGUGGCUUCCGGAGCUAACGCGUUAAAUCGACCGCCUGGGGAGUACGGCCGCAAGGUUAAAACUCAAAUGAAUUGACGGGGGCCCGCACAAGCGGUGGAGCAUGUGGUUUAAUUCGAUGCAACGCGAAGAACCUUACCUGGUCUUGACAUCCACAGAACUUUCCAGAGAUGGAUUGGUGCCUUCGGGAACUGUGAGACAGGUGCUGCAUGGCUGUCGUCAGCUCGUGUUGUGAAAUGUUGGGUUAAGUCCCGCAACGAGCGCAACCCUUAUCCUUUGUUGCCAGCGGUCCGGCCGGGAACUCAAAGGAGACUGCCAGUGAUAAACUGGAGGAAGGUGGGGAUGACGUCAAGUCAUCAUGGCCCUUACGACCAGGGCUACACACGUGCUACAAUGGCAUAUACAAAGAGAAGCGACCUCGCGAGAGCAAGCGGACCUCAUAAAGUAUGUCGUAGUCCGGAUUGGAGUCUGCAACUCGACUCCAUGAAGUCGGAAUCGCUAGUAAUCGUAGAUCAGAAUGCUACGGUGAAUACGUUCCCGGGCCUUGUACACACCGCCCGUCACACCAUGGGAGUGGGUUGCAAAAGAAGUAGGUAGCUUAACCUUCGGGAGGGCGCUUACCACUUUGUGAUUCAUGACUGGGGUGAAGUCGUAACAAGGUAACCGUAGGGGAACCUGCGGUUGGAUCACCU